rnacentral:rRNA from 1 species
CCUACGGGGGGCAGCAGUAGGGAAUCUUUCACAAUGGGCGAAAGCCUGAUGGAGCAACGCCGCGUGAACGAGGAAGGUCUUCGGAUCGUAAAGUUCUGUUGAAGGGGAAAAAGAGCGGAGAGAGGAAAUGGUCUCCGAUUGAUAUUACCCUUCGAGGAAGUCACGGCUAACUACGUGCCAGCAGCCGCGGUAAUACGUAGGUGGCGAGCGUUAUCCGGAAUGAUUGGGCGUAAAGGGUGCGUAGGCGGCCUGCUAAGUCUGGAGUGAAAGGUACCGGCUCAACCGGUACAGGCUCUGGAAACUGG